GACGAACGCUGGCGGCGUGCUUAACACAUGCAAGUCGAACGGAAAGGCCCAGCUUGUUGGGUACUCGAGUGGCGAACGGGUGAGUAACACGUGGGUGAUCUGCCCCCAACUUCGGGAUAAGCCUGGGAAACUGGGUCUAAUACCGGAUAUGACCUGCUCCUGCAUGGGGGUUGGUGGAAAGCUUUUGCGGUUUGGGAUGGGCCCGCGGCCUAUCAGCUUGUUGGUGGGUAAUGGCCUACCAAGGCGACGACGGGUAGCCGACCUGAGAGGGUGAUCGGCCACACUGGGACUGAGACACGGCCCAGACUCCUACGGGAGGCAGCAGUGGGGAAUAUUGCACAAUGGGCGCAAGCCUGAUGCAGCGACGCCGCGUGAGGGAUGACGGCCUUCGGGUUGUAACCUCUUUCGUCCAGGGACGAAGCGCAAGUGACGGUACCUGGAGAAGAAGCACCGGCCAACUACGUGCCAGCAGCCGCGGUAA
rnacentral:rRNA from 1 species